rnacentral:rRNA from 1 species
AACGAACGCUGGCGGCAGGCUUAACACAUGCAAGUCGAACGCAUCCUUCGGGGUGAGUGGCAGACGGGUGAGUAACGCGUGGGAACGUGCCCUUCAGUUCGGGAUAACCCAGGGAAACUUGGGCUAAUACCGGAUACGUGCGAGAGCAGAAAGAUUUAUCGCUGAAGGAUCGGCCCGCGUCUGAUUAGCUAGUUGGUGGGGUAAUGGCCCACCAAGGCGACGAUCAGUAGCUGGUCUGAGUGGAUGAUAAGCCACAUUGGGACUGAGACACGGCCCAAACUCCUACGGGAGGCAGCAGGGGGGAAUAUUGGACAAUGGGCGAAAGCCUGAUCCAGCCAUGCCGCGUGAGUGAUGAAGGCCUUAGGGUUGUAAAGCUCUUUCGUCCGGGACGAUAAUGACGGUACCGGAAGAAGAAGCCCCGGCUAACUUCGUGCCAGCCGCCGCUGUAA